GGUGACGACUUUUCCAUGUUUGUAACCAGAGACGAAGACCUCUUACAUUUGACCAACAACUCCUGUUGUCCCAUUACAAUUCUGAGCUGGACUCAAUCCAGAGCUCACAGGUGAAACCGAAAUAGAGUUAGCAGCUGCUGUUAUGGUGGGCCUAACAGGCCCAUUAAUUGGAGUUGUCCAGAAAGCAUUUAGAGAAGAUGGUGUGCUAUUUACAACCCCCGUGAAUGCAGGAAAUGCGGGACUCGAGGAAGACGUAUGAGUGGAUAGUGAAGUCGAGGGGUUUGUAAAGGGAUUAUGAUUCCAAGGUGAAAGUGACACUGAUGAUGCAGUAAAGCCUGCAGAGUUUGAAGGAGCAGAUGUGGCAGUGGUUGCAGAAGCUGAAAAUUGAAUCGGCGGUGAAGUGAAUGCAGGAAAUGCGGAAGACGUAUGAGUGGAUAGUGAAGUGAAGGGGUUUGUAAAGGGAUUAUGAUUCAAAGGUGAUGAUGCAGUAGAGGCUGCAGAGAUAAAGCCAGUUCCCGGAGCAAAAGGAUUACGAACAGUGGUAGAGGCUGCAGAGGUAAAUGGGUUGAAUGAGUUUGAAGGAGCAGAUGUAACAGUGGUUGCAGAAGGUGA
rnacentral:lncRNA from 1 species